AGAGUUUGAUCCUGGCUCAGGACGAACGCUGGCGGCGCGCCUAACACAUGCAAGUCGAACGAGCGAGAGAGAGCUUGCUUUCUCGAGCGAGUGGCGAACGGGUGAGUAACGCGUGAGGAACCUGCCUCAAAGAGGGGGACAACAGUUGGAAACGACUGCUAAUACCGCAUAAGCCCACGACCCGGCAUCGGGUAGAGGGAAAAGGAGCAAUCCGCUUUGAGAUGGCCUCGCGUCCGAUUAGCUAGUUGGUGAGGUAACGGCCCACCAAGGCGACGAUCGGUAGCCGGACUGAGAGGUUGAACGGCCACAUUGGGACUGAGACACGGCCCAGACUCCUACGGGAGGCAGCAGUGGGGGAUAUUGCACAAUGGGGGAAACCCUGAUGCAGCGACGCCGCGUGGAGGAAGAAGGUUUUCGGAUUGUAAACUCCUGUCGUUAGGGACGAUAAUGACGGUACCUAACAAGAAAGCACCGGCUAACUACGUGCCAGCAGCCGCGGUAAAACGUAGGGUGCAAGCGUUGUCCGGAAUUACUGGGUGUAAAGGGAGCGCAGGCGGACCGGCAAGUUGGAAGUGAAAACUAUGGGCUCAACCCAUAAAUUGCUUUCAAAACUGCUGGCCUUGAGUAGUGCAGAGGUAGGUGGAAUUCCCGGUGUAGCGGUGGAAUGCGUAGAUAUCGGGAGGAACACCAGUGGCGAAGGCGACCUACUGGGCACCAACUGACGCUGAGGCUCGAAAGCAUGGGUAGCAAACAGGAUUAGAUACCCUGUAGUCCAUGCCGUAAACGAUGAUUACUAGUGUUGGAGGAUUGACCCCUUCAGUGCCGCAGUUAACACAAUAAGUAAUCCACCUGGGGAGUACGACCGCAAGGUUGAAACUCAAAGGAAUUGACGGGGGCCCGCACAAGCAGUGGAGUAUGUGGUUUAAUUCGAAGCAACGCGAAGAACCUUACCAGGUCUUGACAUCCGAUGCAUAGCUUAGAGAUAAGUGAAGUCCUUCGGGACAUCGAGACAGGUGGUGCAUGGUUGUCGUCAGCUCGUGUCGUGAGAUGUUGGGUUAAGUCCCGCAACGAGCGCAACCCUUAUUGCCAGUUACUACGUAAGAGGACUCUGGCGAGACUGCCGUUGACAAAACGGAGGAAGGUGGGGAUGACGUCAAAUCAUCAUGCCCUUUAUGACCUGGGCUACACACGUACUACAAUGGCGUUUAACAAAGAGAAGCAAGACCGCGAGGUGGAGCAAAACUCAAAAACAACGUCUCAGUUCAGAUUGCAGGCUGCAACUCGCCUGCAUGAAGUCGGAAUUGCUAGUAAUCGCGGAUCAGCAUGCCGCGGUGAAUACGUUCCCGGGCCUUGCACACACCGCCCGUC
rnacentral:rRNA from 1 species